rnacentral:tRNA from 1 species
GAAAUAAUUUUAUUGAAUUUCUAAUUCAAUUAAUAAUAAAUUUUAUUAUUAUUUUU